UACGAAGGGUGCAAGCGUUAAUCGGAAUUACUGGGCGUAAAGGGUGCGUAGGCGGUUCGUUAAGUCUGUUGUGAAAUCCCCGGGCUCAACCUGGGAAUGGCGAUGGAUACUGGGCAGCUAGAGUGUGUCAGAGGAUGGUGGAAUUCCCGGUGUAGCGGUGAAAUGCGUAGAGAUCGGAAAGAACACCUGUGGCGAAGGCGGCGACCUGGCUUCAGACUGACACUGAGGUGCGAAAGCGUGGGGAGCAAACAGG
rnacentral:rRNA from 1 species